AAGAAAUCGGGAGAAACUGAAGAUCCAUAGGAGUAACACACUCACUAGGGAGACAAAGACUCUGGGGGGAAUAAGGUUAAAAUGCGUGAGCACGUCACGACUUGAAAACUUGUUGGGAAACACGAAGGGAUUCCACGAAAAUAAAUCGAUGGAAAGACUCGAGCUGACGCAAAGAUGCAUGAAUUAGGGGAUAUGCCAAUACAGCAAAACUAUCCAAAAAGGACACAUCG
rnacentral:lncRNA from 1 species